UGACAGGCAUAUUCGUCCAAGAUUAACUGAGAUAUAAAAGUUUAAACUCUUAUAUCUCAGUUAAUCUUGGACGAAUAUGCCUGUCA